rnacentral:rRNA from 1 species
UGGGGAAUUUUGGACAAUGGGGGAAACCCUGAUCUAGCCAUCCCGCGUGUGCGAUGAAGGCCUUCGGGUUGUAAAGCACUUUUGGCAGGAAAGAAACGUCAUGGGUUAAUACCCCGUGAAACUGACGGUACCUGCAGAAUAAGCACCGGCUAACUAAGUGCCGGCAGCCGCGGUAAUACGUAGGGUGCAAGCGUUAAUCGGAAUUACUGGGCGUAAAGCGGGCGCAGGCGGUUCGGAAAGAAAGAUGUGAAAUCCCAGAGCUCAACUUUGGAACUGCAUUUUUAACUACCGGGCUAGAGUGUGUCAGAGGGAGGUGGAAUUCCGCGUGUAGCAGUGAAAUGCGUAGAUAUGCGGAGGAACACCGAUGGCGAAGGCAGCCUCCUGGGAUAACACUGACGCUCAUGCACGAAAGCGUGGGGAGCAAACAGG